CUCCUCUCAGGGUCACAUAUGGAGAGUUUCCAGUAUUCUACCAGUCUCGACUAUGAGAGGGAGAGUCAAGAAGAGGCAUACCCAUUCCAUUCCUAGCUUGGACAGUGGCUAGCAGCUGGAAGGCGAUCUGCUACAAGU